GACGAAGAUGGGCAUGCGUGUCAUUAGCUAGUUGGUGAGGUAACGGCUCACCAAGGCGACGAUGACUAGGGGAUCUGAGAGGAUGACCCCCCACACUGGUACUGAGACACGGACCAGACUCCUACGGGAGGCAGCAGUAAGGAAUAUUGGUCAAUGGGCGCAAGCCUGAACCAGCCAUGCCGCGUGCAGGAAGACGGCCCUACGGGUUGUAAACUGCUUUUGUCAGGGAAUAAACCCCCGUAUGUAUACGGGGUUGAAUGUACUUGAAGAAUAAGGAUCGGCUAACUCCGUGCCAGCAGCCGCGGUAAUACGGAGGAUCCAAGCGUUAUCCGGAUUUAUUGGGUUUAAAGGGUGCGUAGGCGGCCUGUUAAGUCAGGGGUGAAAGACGGUGGCUCAACCAUCGCAGUGCCCUUGAUACUGAUGGGCUUGAAUAAACUUGAGGUAGGCGGAAUGUGACAAGUAGCGGUGAAAUGCAUAGAUAUGUCACAGAACACCAAUUGCGAAGGCAGCUUACUAAGGUUUAAUUGACGCUGAGGCACGAAAGCGUGGGGAUCAAACAGGAUUAGAUACCCUGGUAGUCCACGCCCUAAACGAUGAACACUCGAUGUUAGCGAUAUACCGUUAGCGUCUAAGC
rnacentral:rRNA from 1 species